AUACGAAAGGUGCAAGCGUUGUUCGGAUUUACUGGGCGUAUAGAGAGUGUAGGUUGUUUAUUAAGUCGGAUGUGAAAUCCCGGGGCUCAACCUCGGAACUGCAUUCGAUACUGAUAGGCUAGAGUUUGGGAGGGGUAAGCGGAAUUCCGUGUGUAGCAGUGAAAUGCGUAGAUAUACGGAGGAACACCUGAGGCGAAGGCGGCUUACUGGACCAAUACUGACACUGAGACUCGAAAGCGUGGGUAGCAAACAGGAUUAGAAACCCCAGUAGUCC
rnacentral:rRNA from 1 species